AUGAUCCAGACAGUUGCUACGGGAUCUUACACAAAACAAACAGUGAGCGAAGAAUUUAACAACGGUCGUUUCACAGUAUCAGAGGGGCAGGCUCUGUAUUUUCUUACAAUAAGAAACAUCCAUCAAGAAGAUGAAGCAACAUAUUUCUGUCAGUAUGGAUCAGCUUAUUCACAGACCUUUGACACAAGCAUCUACUUGGCUGUAAAUGGUCACAGUGAACAGAAAUCAGUCAAUGUGAAACAAACUCCGGAGGCAGUGUCAGUCCACCCAGGCAGCUCCGUGACUCUCCAGUGUUCACUUUUCUCCAAUAACAAAGAGAACAGAAGCGAGUGCCCAGAUGAACACAGAAUGUACUGGUUCAGAGCGGGAUCAGGACAAUCCCAUGCUACUAUUAUUUACACUCACAGUAACUACAGUCAAAAGCAAGAGGGAAGUCGUUGUGUCCACAGUCUGUCCCAAACUAUUCAGAGCUCCUCUGAUGCUGCGAUCUACUACUGUGCAGUGGUCACAUGUGGAGAGAUCGUGUUUGGUGAAGGAACUCAAGUGGAGAUAAAUUGA